UACGAAGGGGGCAAGCGUUGUUCGGAAUUACUGGGCGUAAAGGGCGCGUAGGCGGCUUAUCAAGUCAGGCGUGAAAUUCCCGGGCUCAACCUGGGGGCUGCGCUUGAUACUGAUGAGCUUGAAUGCGGGAGAGGAUAGUGGAAUUCCCAGUGUAGAGGUGAAAUUCGUAGAUAUUGGGAAGAACACCGGUGGCGAAGGCGGC
rnacentral:rRNA from 1 species